rnacentral:lncRNA from 13 species
CGUUUGCUCUGUGGGAAGCCAGCUUGCAUGUUGUGAGGACUCUCACACACCCCUAUACCAAGGUCUACGUGGUCAACAAUUGAGGCUUCCCGACAACAGCCAGCACCACCUUGCCAGGCCUGUGAAUGAAUGAUUGACUUACAAGUGGAUCUGCUAGUCCCAGUCAAGCCUUCAGGUAACUGUAGUUCCAGCCAACAUCUAGACUGCCACCUCAUGAGAGAACCUGAACUAGCCAGGGCUUUGUGCUUGACAAUAAGAAGAGAUUUAAAAAGGUAUAAAAGGCAAGAUCUUUGCUCUCCCAGAAUUCCUGAGUGAGGCAAUAUGUGCUCAACAGUGUCAGGCAAGUAGCAGCGUGCAGAAGGAACAGAAGGAGCGGCUUGGGUGUGACAAGCUGGAACCUGCACACAGCUGCAGGAGGAGGGUGUUCUGAGACUUCGAAGAUCAGCACGCCCCUUCCAACCUUUCAGAGGAAGCUAUUGAAAAUGAAAAGACAUGACUUCUCAAUACCAAGUUUAUUUGAAAAGGAAUGAAACCAAUGUAACAGGUAUACAUGUUACAGUAAUUACCUUAUUGGCAUACAGAGAGGAGGCAAAAGCACAAAUUGGUUUAUUUUGUCUUUUCAUGAGGAAAAUAGCUUUUUUGAGCUCAAAUGAGGGGACUUAAUGGCUUGGCACCAGGGUAUAACCAUUACUGAUGCAGGGCAGGAAGCCUUGGAAAAUUGCCCUUCUCCUUCUCUGCUACUUUCCAUCCCACUUUCGUCAGAGACAUAUUUUGGGUCCUGUCUCCUGGAACCUGCUGACAAUGUGUAGAGACUCACCCAAUGUCUGACUGCCUGUUACUGCUGCUAAACCUUGUUCUGACUGGCUGUGGUGACAAUGGCCUGGGAGUCUCAACUUUGAGACUUUACAAAUGCCACGGACUGGGUGACUGCUUAUGUGGGUUUUGUCUAGAUCUGACUCUUUCCACAGGGAUGUGAUUUUAAAGCCCUGGAAUAUGAGGUUGAAACACCUACAACAAUAGUCAGUCCUAAGAAGGGAGGUUCUCCAGGUUUAUAGAGGAGGCCUUGGAAGAAUUCAGCUUCCUAAUAGUGAUCUGUCUAUGUGGCCGUACCAGUGGCAUGGGGGAAAGUGAGAAUUUAGAAAAAUUAUUGGAAAGUAUUUUCCUUUUGACAAGUAAAAAAUUAGAGUAUUAUGGGAAUAUAAGAAAUUACAGGGUUAGAAGAUUCCACCUUUGUAGUAACUUAAUAGUCUGAUUAAAGCACAUACCUGUAUCUGACAGUAAGGAUGCCAGAAUAAGGGCUUUACUGCCUCAUUAA